rnacentral:rRNA from 1 species
UACGUAGGGUGCAAGCGUUGUCCGGAAUUAUUGGGCGUAAAGAGCUCGUAGGCGGUUUGUCGCGUCUGCUGUGAAAACCCGGGGCUCAACCUCGGGCCGCAGUGGGUACGGGCAGACUAGAGUGGCGGGUAGGGGAGAUUGGAAUUCCUGGUGUAGCGGUGGAAUGCGCAGAUAUCAGGAGGAACACCGAUGGCGAAGGCAGAGU